rnacentral:rRNA from 1 species
GAUGAACGCUGGCGGCGUGCCUAACACAUGCAAGUCGAACGAAGCACUGAGAGUUUGAGAUUUCGGUCAAGAACUUUCUUUGACUUAGUGGCGGACGGGUGAGUAAUGCGUGAGCAACCUGCCUUUCAGAGGGGGACAACAGUUGGAAACGGCUGCUAAUACCGCAUACACCCUGAGGGGGAAAGUCGCAAGACGCUGUCAGAUGUGCCCAGAGGGGAUUAGCUAGUUGGUGAGGUAAAGGCUCACCAAGGCGACGAUCUCUAGCUGGUCUGAGAGGAUGAUCAGCCACAUUGGGACUGAGACACGGCCCAGACUCCUACGGGAGGCAGCAGUAGGGAAUAUUGCACAAUGGAGGAAACUCUGAUGCAGCCAUGCCGCGUGUGUGAAGAAGGCCUUCGGGUGUAAAGCACUUUCAGAGGGGAGGAGAAUGACGUUACCCUCAGAAGAAGCACCGGCUAACUCCGU